rnacentral:rRNA from 1 species
CCUACGGGCGGCAGCAGUGGGGAAUAUUGGACAAUGGGCGAAAGCCUGAUCCAGCCAUGCCGCGUGUGUGAAGAAGGCCUUCGGGUUGUAAAGCACUUUCAGUGGGGAAGAAAGCCUUGGGGCUAAUACCCUCGAGGAAGGACAUCACCCACAGAAGAAGCACCGGCUAACUCCGUGCCAGCAGCCGCGGUAAUACGGAGGGUGCGAGCGUUAAUCGGAAUUACUGGGCGUAAAGCGCGCGUAGGCGGUCUGAUAAGCCGGUUGUGAAAGCCCCGGGCUCAACCUGGGAACGGCAUCCGGAACUGUCAGGCUAGAGUGCAGGAGAGGAAGGUAGAAUUCCCGGUGUAGCGGUGAAAUGCGUAGAGAUCGGGAGGAAUACCAGUGGCGAAGGCGGUCUUCUGGACUGACACUGACGCUGAGGUGCGAAAGCGUGGGUAGCAAACAGGAUUAGAUACCCCAGUAGUC